AAGGAAACUGUCCAGCGCCAAGUCUUGACACUUUGGUGAUCAAGAGAUGCGGCGUUAAUGAGUUGGCGCAUCGUGCAUCGUUCCAUGUUUCAAGUCCCUUUGAAUGGGGUUUCCAGAGCGGGUGCAAGACCCAUAGAAACUAGGAACCGAUGUAUGCAGGCCAAUUCAUAUUAGAGUCAGGUUGCUUGAGAGUGCAGCUUAAAGUCGGUGGUAAACUCCAUCUAAGACUAAAUAUGACAGCGAGACCGAUAGCAAACAAGUACCGUGAGGGAAAGUUGCAAAGCACUUUGAAGAGAGAGUCAAAUAGUACGUGAAACCACUGGAAGGCAAACAGAUAGAACCACGAAGUUUGCGCCUCGGGCGAUUCAACUAUUGUCACUUAAUAUUGUUGUCUGUUAUGGGUCUCUUUGGAGAUUGUUCAGAUGGCAUUGAUUGAGUGUCACUGGUGCAUUUCGAUCCGAGGAUGCUAAGCCACGUUCGACUAGAGUUGAAACGACUGUAAGACRGGAUCCAAGAAAGGUGGCUGUCAAGUGCUUGCAUUUGAUAGCGUUAUAGUCUUGGAUCGGAAUCGUUUCUAACAUGCUGGUCGAUAGAAAUUCUCUACGGAGUAUAAAUCGUAUCUGCCUACGAUCGACAGUCGGCAYUUUGURAUUGUUUUAGCGUGUUUUCGGAUGCGAUAAAWCGUUGCAACARUGUCGGCUAGCGGUUGUUUGCGUGAUACGAUAGAACUGUGGCGCGAGUAGGUCGGUYUCUAUCUGACCCGUCUUGAAACACGGACCAAGGAGCCUAUCAUAUACGCGAGUCGCUCGGUCUUGUUUAGGCCAGAGAGGCGCAAUGAAAGUAAAGUUACGAAGCUUCGGCUGCAGUAAUGGCUCGCCUACUUCGUUUUUUCGGCGAUCAGGCGAAGCUGGAGCGUAUACGAUGGUACCCGAAAGAUGGUGAACUAUGCCUGGGCAAGACGAAGCCAGAGGAAACUCUGGUGGAAGUCUGUAGCGAUUCUGACGUGCAAAUCGAUCGUCAGACCUGGGUAUAGGGGCGAAAGACUAAUCGAACCAUCUAGUAGCUGGUUUCCUUCGAAGUUUCCCUCAGGAUAGCAGGCAUUUAUUUAAAUCAGUCUCAUCCGGUAAAGCUAAUGAUUAGAGGUCUUGGGGUUGAAACGACCUCAACCUAUUCUCAAACUUUGAAUGGGUGAGAUGGUUGACUUUCUUGAUUUGAAGCCAACCAAUUGGAUGUGAGUGCCUAGUGGGCCAUUUUUGGUAAGCAGAACUGGCGCUGUGGGAUGAACCAAACGUCGAGAUAAGGCAUCRAAUGCAUACGCUCAUCAGACCCCAUAAAAGGUGUUGGUUGCUAUAGACAGCAGGACGGUGGCCAUGGAAGUCGGAAUCC
rnacentral:rRNA from 1 species